UGAACAGUCCCAUAGCGCGAAGGCGCAACAUUAAAUCAACAUCUUCGAAGUAUCCCGGAUCGAAUAACGGAUCGAACCCACCCGCCGCCAGAAAGACGUCGCGGCGCAUCAGCAGGCACGCGGCGNNNUCGACGAUGUGCAGCCCUGCUUGGGAUAGAAUACUGGCCGGCGGGCGCGCCAGACCAUGACGUAUCGUCCAGCCAUCAGGGCGAACGUAUCCGCCGGCUUCCUGCAAUCGGCCAUU
rnacentral:misc_RNA from 1 species